GUGAAGAACGUAGCGAAAUGCGAUAACUAAUGUGAAUUGCAGAAUUCAGUGAAUCAUCGAGUCUUUGAACGCACAUUGCGCCCCCUGGUAUUCCGGGGGCAUGCCUGUCCGAGCGUCAUUGCUGCCCUCAAGCACGGCUUGUGUGUUGGGCUCCGUCCCCCCGGGGACGGGCCCGAAAGGCAGCGGCGGCACCGAGUCCGGUCCUCGAGCGUAUGGGGCUUUGUCACCCGCUCUGUAGGCCCGGCCGGCGCCAGCCGACAACCCAUCAUCCUUUUCAGGUUGACCUCGGAUCAGGUAGGGAUACCCGCUGAACUUAAGCAUAUCAAUAAGCGGAGGA
rnacentral:misc_RNA from 1 species